AGAUGUUCGGUUAAGUCCGCUAACGAGCGCAACCCUCGCUGUGUGUUAUAUGUGUCACACGGGACUGCCGGUCUUAAGCCGGAGGAAGGUGGGGAGUGAUGUCAAGUCAGCAUGGCCUUUAUAUCCUGGGCUACACACACGCUACAAUGGCCAACACAAUAGGUUGCUAAGCCGCGAGGUGGCGCCAAUCCAUAAAGUUGGUCUCAGUUCAGAUUGUAGGCUGCAACCCGCCUGCAUGAAGAUGGAGUUGCUAGUAACCGCAGGUCAGCUAUACUGCGGUGAAUACGUUCCCGGGGCUU
rnacentral:rRNA from 1 species